AGAGUUUGAUUAUGGCUCAGGAUGAACGCUGGCGGCGUGCUUAAUACAUGCAAGUCGAACGGAGAUAGUAGCAAUAUUAUCUUAGUGGCGAACGGGUGAGUAACGCGUUGGUGACCUGCCCCGAAGAGAGGGAUAGCAGUUCGAAAGGACUGAUAAUACCCCAUGUGGUUGUCGGUUUUAGAAUCUGAUAACUAAACGGCGAAAGUCGCUUCGGGAGGGGCCUGCGUCCCAUCAGCUAGUUGGUAGGGUAAUGGCCUACCAAGGCUAUGACGGGUAGGGGACCUGAGAGGGUGGCCCCCCACAAUGGAACUGAAACACGGUCCAUACACCUACGGGUGGCAGCAGUAGGGAAUAUUGGUAAUGUGCGAAAGCGCGAACCAGCCAACGCCGCGUGCACGAUGAAGGCCUUCGGGUCGUAAAGUGCUUUUAGAGAGGAUGAGGAAGGACAGUACUUUCUGAAUAAGCCUCGGCUAACUACGUGCCAGCCGCUGC
rnacentral:rRNA from 1 species